ACAGAGUCUUGGGGUGAAGCAUUCAGAGAGGAGUUUGAUUGGAGCAAACACAGGAUGGUGUCAUUUCUUAUUGGCUAAGCACGGACCCACCCACCUGUUUAGCCAUUGACCAAUGAACAGCCAGGUUUUUCCAGGAAGUGGCUUUUAAUUACCCAGGAAGUUAAACUCUGUCAUGGCGUCUUUGCCACGCCCCAAACAAUUUGAGUUAAAAUGCUUGUCUGUUCAUUCACACAGAUGUUAACAGUGAGCGAAGUGUGUUUUCCAGUGACUCGUGGCUUUUUUUAAAAUAAAUAAAAUAAUUCCUGCAUUCAAAGGGAGUAUUGCAAAUGGAAGCCACCACAUGUUCAUCAAAUGUGUGAUGAGGAGGCUGGUGACUGAUGAAGCCCCUUGAAGAAGCAAGUAGGUGUCAACAGGGGACUGUUCUGAACCUUCCACCAUGUCACGCUCGCUACCUUCAAGCAGCAAUGAAGCCUGGUGCUGUGACCGGACCACGUCUACUGGAUCCAUCCCGGCCAUUUAAAGGGAAAAGUCUUAAAGGAGUCUUCAGCUGUGGCAGUGGAGCGUCGGGCAGCGGGUUAAGGAACGAUGACUCGGCCGACGGCGAGGACGAAGAGAAGCACAGGUGCAGUUCGACGUCAGACAAGAAUGUACUUCAAACUCAACGAGGUCCAGCGUUUUCUACAUCGGCCACAUGGAUUCAGAACAAAGUCAAACUGCUGCAGCAACUAAUGGCACAUUUCACUGGUAAACAUCGGUUUAUGCUGCUGUAGUCGUUACCUUCUUUCAGAAUGAUUUCCCAUAAGUUUUUUACAGCUUAUUAUUAAAGUGGACUCCUUUUCAGAUUUGAGUGAUUGUGGUGUUUAUCAGGAUCUUGUGUCAUCUGUGCUGACCCUCCCUCUCAUUGUUGUGUUGAGAGCAUCCCUGUG
rnacentral:lncRNA from 1 species